AGGGUUUGAUCAUGGCUCAGAACGUACGCUGGCGGCACGCCUAAUACAUGCAAGUCGAACGAAGUAGCAAUACUUAGUGGCAGACGGGUGAGUAACAUGUAGGUAUCUUCCCAUUGGUGAGGAAUAACACGAGGAAACUUGUGCUAAUACCUCAUAAGUCUUUACGGAGAAAGCUUUAUGCGCCGAUGGAUGAGCCUGCACUUGAUUAGUUUGUUGGUAGGGUAAUGGCCUACCAAGACAAUGAUCAAUAGCUGAUUUGAGAGGAUGAUCAGCCACAUUGGGACUGAGACACGGCCCAAACUCCUACGGGAGGCAGCAGUAGGGAAUCUUGCACAAUGGGGGAAACCCUGAUGCAGCGAUGCCGCGUGAGUGAAGAAGGCCUUUGGGUUGUAAAGCUCUUUCGUCGGGGAAGAAAAUGACUGUACCCGAAUAAGAAGGUCCGGCUAACUUCGUGCCAGCAGCCGCGGUAAUACGAAGGGACCUAGCGUAGUUCGGAAUUACUGGGCUUAAAGAGUUCGUAGGUGGUUAAAAAAGUUGGUGGUGAAAUCCCAGAGCUUAACUCUGGAACUGCCAUCAAAACUUUUUAGCUAGAGUAUGAUAGAGGAAAGCAGAAUUUCUAGUGUAGAGGUGAAAUUCGUAGAUAUUAGAAAGAAUACCAAUUGCGAAGGCAGCUUUCUGGAUCAUUACUGACACUGAGGAACGAAAGCAUGGGUAGCGAAGAGGAUUAGAUACCCUCGUAGUCCAUGCCGUAAACGAUGUGUGUUAGACGUUGGAAAUUUAUUUUCUGUGUCACAGCGAAAGCAAUAAACACACCGCCUGGGGAGUACGACCGCAAGGUUAAAACUCAAAUGAAUUGACGGGGACCCGCACAAGUAGUGGAGCAUGUGGUUUAAUUCGAAGAUACGCGCAGAACCUUACCAACACUUGACAUGUUCGUCGCGACUUUAAGAGAUUAAAGUUUUCGGUUCGGCCGGACGAAACACAGGUGCUGCAUGGCUGUCGUCAGCUCGUGUCGUGAGAUGUUGGGUUAAGUCCCGCAACGAGCGCAACCCUCACUUUUAGUUGCCAUCAUUAAGUUGGGCACUCUGAAAGAACUGCCAGUGAUAAGCUGGAGGAAGGUGGGGAUGACGUCAAGUCCUCAUGGCCCUUACGUGUUGGGCUACACACGUGCUACAAUGGCAUUUACAAUAGGAAGCAAAACGGCGACGUUAAGCAAAUCCUAAAAAAGUGCCUCAGUUCGGAUUGUACUCUGCAACUCGAGUACAUGAAGCUGGAAUUACUAGUAAUCGCGGAUCAGCGCGCCGCGGUGAAUACGUUCCCGGGUCUUGUACACACCGCCCGUCACACCAUGGGAGUUGGUUCUACCUUAAGGCAAAGUUUAAUACCUUUGACCACGGUAUAGUCAGCGACUGGGGUGAAGUCGUAACAAGGUAGCCGUA
rnacentral:rRNA from 1 species